UACGUAGGGGGCAAGCGUUGUCCGGAUUUAUUGGGCGUAAAGAGCUCGUAGGCGGUCUGUUGCGUCCGCUGUGAAAACUCGGGGCUUAACCCCGAGCCUGCAGUGGAUACGGGCAGACUAGAGGUAGGUAGGGGAGAAUGGAAUUCCCGGUGUAGCGGUGAAAUGCGCAGAUAUCGGGAAGAACACCCGUGGCGAAGGCGGUUCUCUGGGACGGUACUGACGCUGAGACGCGAAAGCGUGGGGAGCGAACAGG
rnacentral:rRNA from 1 species